AUACUUACCUGAUAGGAGAGAUACUAUGAUAACCAUAGUUUUC
rnacentral:snRNA from 1 species